UAUAAUGUAUCGAUUUUACAAAGAGGUUUUGAAAAAUCGAUAAUAGUAAUAGACAAAAGCUACCUUUUCCCAGAGGUUUGUCAAAAACCACGGCGCGUAAGUUAAAUUUGACAUUUCAUAGAAAUUCAUAGUGCAGCAAGCGAAUUUGCGGUGGACUGUAGACGCUGAGAUCAAAGCUGAAAUUAUUUGGAUUAAAGAAACAACUGCCUAAAUUCUAAACGGUGGAAGGUACUGGUAACUUAACACUAAGAAACCAGUAAGCAGAAUACCUGCCUGUUUGCCGAGCUAGACAAGUCAGCAACUUAUCCUUCAUCAUGGAACAAAAUCAACAGCAAUAUAUAAUGCCUGAAGUAAUAUACAUUGUUGAAGACGCACCUGAAAGGUGUUAAGUGGGCAUGUGUCGUCAAGUCGUCGCACACAAAGUAGAAAAUGAAAAUUCUUUAAUAAUGCAAAUAUUUAUUCCCAAGAUUAACUGAGGAGAGCAUGAAGAAGAUCUUUAAAAAGAUCAUAUUUUAAGAGCUCUUAUAUAGCUCUUAGAUAAAGUAGAAGCAAAAGCCAUGGUAUCGACCCGUAUGAGUUGCUGUUAGGACGAAAGAGCGCGCUAUGCCUAACUUGACGUCGGCGUAUUUGUUCGGUUGCCUCCUUCUGGGACAAAACGUUCUCGCAGAAGGACGACAGUGCCUCCCACGCCAAGCGACUGCUGCUAGCUCCGCCACUAAUUCGGCGCGAGACUCUUCAAAAACAAAGCGCACGAGGCGUGUGUGCAGUACGGUGUCCUCAGGAUGAUGGCACACUGUGGUGACCGCCCCUCGGGCCAACCGAGAUGGUGCCCGAAAGCCCCGAUGUGCGGUCAACAAGUGCGUGCGACGGUACGUCAUAACACCGCACUGUCUCUGCACCUACUGUUGUGCCAUAAUAUUACCUAGUUACAAAGUCAUUAUUAACAGUACCUACCUCACUCAUGAUUUUAAUUGGCUUGUUUAAUAAUUUUAUAAAGUAAUAGCCAUUUUCGCUUGAAUAAUACUUUGCAUUUUUAAGCUAGUCUAAAACUUGAGAAGAGAAACGUUGAAGAUUCUUUUGCUAUAAUUUUUACUUGCUGCUAUUUAUUUGCUUAGUAGAUGCGGUUUGCUUUUGAAAGUAUAAUUGGCGACAUCAUGCCGACCUGACUAUAAAAUUCCCCAGAUCAGGACGGAGUAGACGAGCCUAUGGAAAUAGGAGGUGACUCUAUAGAGGUAGCAGAAGCAUGUGCACUGGAAGGAGGCGAUGUUUUUAAGAUGGACGACGAGGUAAUUGAAAUUGAAGACGAUAGCGACGAUGAAGCUAUCGCGAUAGUAGUCGAGGCCGAAGAAGGAGUUGACGCGGCCAAUGACGGAGGAGUAGAGGAGGACAUGUCGGAGGAGUGGCUGGAUGAAGACCUGUGGACAGUGGAACCCGAGGUUCGCCCUAGGCGCAGGCAGCGAAAAGCCAAGAAACCCAAAGAAGUCUGCAAAGACGUUAUAAACACUUGGUUGGCUAUGAGAAAUUCGACAUCGGGGACCUUGGAAUCCUUACUUAGAAUUUGGAUAAAAAUCGAAGACGUCUUUAUUCAUCGAUUAAACCAGUGUAAAUGUCAUUCUAAAAAAAAGUGUUAAUCACAUUUAACAUCUUCUGUCUUUUUAUUUAAUGGCAACAAAUUUAAAUGUCGUAGCAUUUGACCCGGAGGGCAUUCUUUAAUUAUAUGAAUUAUACCUAAGGUGUAAUUUUACCAUGUUGAGGAGGGGUCAAAGAUCUAUAUGAGGCGGUUUCAUAAUUUAUAAUUUUAUGCAUAUAAAGAGCAGUCGAAAAAUGAAGAAAAUUACGUUUUAAUAUUUUUAGUAUCAAAUCAAAUCACAAUGGCGCUAGGGUAUAUUGUUUUUGAAUUUAACCCUACAGUUUCGAUGCGCCAGUGACCCAACCUCACCAUAGUUUAUUACUUAAAAUAAGUUACUCUAUAUAUUAUAUAAUUCUUUGGAAAUGCAGGUAAUUAAAUUAAUGAUGUAUACUCAAUUGUAGUCUUAAAUUAGUAUUCAUGGAAAUAUCAUAUUAUUAUACACGUAGUAUGUCCUAUAAAUUUCAAGGGUGUUUAAAACGCAAUACUUCUUCGUCUUAGACCUUUCAAUAAAAUAUGGCAUAAAUGCCCGAGGACUAGAUAGAUCGUAAAAAGAUCGAUUAAAAUGCGUCCAAUAGUUUGGUAUGAUAGGCGAAGCGAACAUCAUCGUCUGACAGGCAGACGAAAAUAAAAAAGAAAAUUUUGGGCGUUAAAAACAUUUCAUCGUUAAAGUAGGAAGGAUUCAAUGGCGUUCAUUAUUACGACGAGGUGUGUCGAGAGAGCGUACAUCGGGAUAGGGUAUCUAAAAUGAAGACUUGAUCAUUAAUUAAUAUCGUUAGUCCUAGCGGGAUCAUCACUGGAUAUUUUCCCAACAAUAUCUGCUCGCCACCUCUUGCUAAAAACUUAUAAGGCUGGAGGAACCAGUUGCGCAACAACUCUACCAUCAAUGGGGUUUUAACUCAGAUUUAGAAAUAUAAUUAUAUGUCCGUCUCAGAAACAUAUUCCUCUAAUAUAUGACUCGUCAAAUAUUAUAAUAGUUUGGGUAUUAUUAGACCUAGUCUUAUGCUUCGAUCAAGAUCGAUUUUAUUAGUAUCCCUUAGAAGCUCUGAAUGUAAGAGGUAGUAUUAGUAUUUUAUUCUUCUUUAAAUAUCUUUAAAUAUUUAAUCUUAUUAAUAUUAGUAAAGUAAGUGUGUGACUUCGUAGUGGUUAAGCUCAACAUGUGGUACUGUAUCUAUUUUGAGAAUCCUUUUAACUUUGGAAAACCAUUUGUGAGACACUCCCACUAUUUAGUUUACCACCCAUCAAACGGCUCUCCGGGUCAGCUAGUUAUAAGUAAAUGUCUUUUUGUCAUUUAUCAAUAAAAUAAUGGAAUCAUAGAA